rnacentral:misc_RNA from 1 species
GAAAUGCGAUACGUAAUGCGAAUUGCAGAAUUCAGUGAAUCAUCAAAUCUUUGAACGCAAAUUGCACUUUCGGGAUAGCCCUGGAAGUACACUUCUCUCAGUAUCGGUAACACCUUAUCUCAACGGCGUGCUGAAAGGCAUGUGCAGUUGGAAAUUGAGCGUCUCGGUUUCGAUUGAGUCGCUUCAAGUGCAAAGCGUUAAUAACGCGUCUGUGUCUUGUAUCAAGACCGUUCCUUUCACUAGGAACUUCUUGUUACGGACAACGUGGAUAAUACGUGUCCAUAGUUCAUUCUAUGAUACACUUUCUUACGUUGUCCUUUGAGACACUACGUGUUAGCUUUCAAAGAAAUCAACCUUUACAUAUAGAUCUGAGAUGAAGUGAGAGGACCCGCCGAAUUUA